UUUAAAAAAGUUAGUUACCUAUUAUUUAAAUGCAUUCCUUAAUUUCCACGGAUAAAAUUAAAUGUUUAUAAGCUGUAUUUGUCAUGAUAUUUUAAGACUGAGAAUGGAUAAUGCUGAAAUACCAUUAUUGGUAUAAUAUUUAUUAACAAUCCAUCAAUGUAAGCUCGUUACAGAUACAGUAGGUACUUUGCUGGUUAAUCUAUGGCUAAUAAGUAAUAACCAAUUGCUGAUGGCUUACAGAACUAAUGGAAAAAGUCAGUACCUAUACACAUAAAGGACGAUAACAAACAAGAGUACCAUGGAGAGUUACAAUAAUUUUACGCGCACAGAUGAUGAUAAAAAAAUCCACACCCAAAUAUAUUAUUUACUGUCAGAUUUAAAGAUGAAAGUAACAUCAAAUGUUUAAAAUUUAUAUAAUAUAGCAAUUUAUUUAGUUUGAACAUAAUGAACGUGAUUGGCCAAGUACACAUUAAUAUUAUGAUUCAAACAGAUAAAUCAAGAAUAGACACCAGCCAUAAUUGAUCAUACACAUUAUAAAAUUACGCAAUUUUUACUAAUUUUUCAUUUUAAUUAAAAUUACAACAAACAAACCAUU